UGCUGCUGCCAAGCUGGUGUGGAAGAGCAAUUCCACUGGUGCCAGAGGGUCUCCACUGACAUAAACCUGCUGCAAGCAGGGGCUCCACAUUGGACAUUUUACCAGGCAUUUUGAAGUGUUGCUGACUUUAUGCAGAAGAAGUGAGCUCCUCCCCAGAGGAACUUUGCAGCAGAGGUUUUCCCUCCCUCUCUUCGUUCCUGGCAGGAGGAACUGGAGAGCUGUGGUCAGUGGCACUGCUGAAGGACGUGUGGGCUGACACACAGU